GACGAACGCUGGCGGCGUGCUUAACACAUGCAAGUCGAACGGAAAGGCCCUGCUUUUGUUGGGUUCUCGAGUGGCGAACGGGUGAGUAACACGUGAGUAACCUGCCCUUGACUUUGGGAUAACUUCAGGAAACUGGGGCUAAUACCGGAUAGGAGCUCCUGCUGCAUGGUGGGGGUUGGAAAGUUUCGGCGGUUGGGGAUGGACUCGCGGCUUAUCAGCUUGUUGGUGGGGUAGUGGCUUACCAAGGCUUUGACGGGUAGCCCGCCUGAGAGGGUGACCGGCCACAUUGGUACUGAGAUACGGCCCAGACUCCUACGGGAGGCAGCAGUGGGGAAUAUUGCACAAUGGGCGGAAGCCUGAUGCAGCAACGCCGCGUGCGGGAUGACGGCCUUCGGGUUGUAAACCGCUUUCGCCUGUGACGAAGCGUGAGUGACGGUAAUGGGUAAAGAAGCACCGGCUAACUACGUG
rnacentral:rRNA from 1 species